AAAGAAGCAUCAUUGUCAGGAGGGUCUUGAGCGAGUUGGGCACCGCUUCAAGGAGUAUGUGUCCGGGGGUGGUUAUUUUAAUUACUGUCCGGCGGCUUUAAAUUAAAGAGCCGGGUUAUUCCGGCGCGGACCAACCCCUUCUACUCUUCCUUCUGCUUCGGUAACUGGUUUAAAUCUGACACCAACGGGCGAUAAUUUUGACAUGACGCGAACAAUGGCGU